UACAGAUAGCUAUAGAUAAAUUCUUAAAAAAUUCUUAGGUGAGUCCACACUUCUUUCCUUAAAAGAAGCCCACAAUACUUUCAUAUUUUGCCUUCUGUACACCUUUAUCUUCCACCUUCUUCAUCAAGAAGCCAUGGCAGAAUCAAUCUUGUUUACCAUUGUAGCAGAGAUUAUUGUAAAAUUGGGUUCGCGACCAUUUCAAGCAAAUACCAUGUGGAUUGGUGUCAAAGAUGAGCUUGAAAAAUUCAAGACAACAGUGUCAACGAUCCAAGCUGUGCUUCUUGAUGCUGAGGAGCAGUACUCAAAAAGUAAUCAAGUCAGAGUUUGGGUUGAUUCACUGAAGGAAGUGUUUUAUGAUGCUGAGGACUUGUUGGAUGAACUUUCUACAGAAGUUCUGCAGCAACAAACGGUGACUGGUAAUAAGAUGGCUAAGGAGGUACGUCGUUUUUUUUCUAGUUCAAACCAGGUUGCUUUUGGUCUUAAAAUGACUCAUAAGAUUAAGGCUGUUAGAGAUAGACUUGAUGUGAUUGUAGCUAAUAGGAAGUUUCAUUUAGAGGAGCGUAGAGUAGAGGCCAAUCAUGUGAUCAUGUCUAGGGAAAGAGAGCAAACUCACUCCUCUCCACCAGAAGUUAUUGUUGGGAGAGAAGAAGAUAAACAAGCAAUUAUAGAGUUGUUGAUGGCUUCUAAUUAUGAAGAGAAUGUGGUAGUGAUUCCAAUAGUUGGUAUUGGAGGGUUAGGAAAGACCACUUUGGCUCAACUUGUGUACAAUGAUGAGAGGGUUAAAACCCAUUUCAAGUCAAGUAGUUGGGUUUGUGUUUCUGAUGAUUUUGAUGUGAAAAUAAUAGUUCAAAAAAUUUUGGAGUCUGUUACUGGUGAUAGAUGUUUUAGUUUUGAGAUGGAUACUCUGAAAAAUCGUCUUCAUGAGACAAUUAAUGGGAAAAGAUUUUUGCUUGUUUUAGAUGAUAUAUGGUGUGAUAAUUUUGAGACAUGGUGUCGUUUGAGAGAUUUGUUAGUCGGUGGUGCUAGAGGAAGUAGAAUAAUCAUAACCACUAGAAUUAAGAAGGUUGCGGAGAUAGUUAGCACAAAUCAGCCAUAUGAGUUAGAAGGCCUUUCUGACAUGGACUCUUGGUCUUUGUUCAAACUAAUGGCAUUUAAACAAGGGAAGGUGCCAAGUCCUAGUUUUGAUGCUAUCGGGAGGGAGAUUGUGGGGAAAUAUGUUGGAGUUCCCCUGGCCAUUAGAGCAAUAGGACGCUUAUUGUAUUUCAAGAAUGCAUCUGAGUGGCUAUCCUUCAAAAAUAAGGAGCUCUCGAAUGUGGAUCUGAAAGAGAAUGACAUUUUGUCCACUUUGAAGUUGAGUUAUGAUCAUCUCCCCCCACGUUUGAGACAUUGCUUUGCUUAUUGUAGAAUAUUUCCAAAAGGGUCUAAGAUUAAUGUCAAGAAAUUGGUUUAUCUUUGGAUGGCACAAGGAUAUAUCAAGUCGUCCGAUCCAAGUCAAUGUCUUGAAGAUGUUGGCUUUGAAUAUUUUAAUGAUCUUCUUUGGAGGUCUUUUUUCCAAGAAGUAGAGAAGGAUCAUUUUGGAAAUAUUAAUAUAUGUAGAAUACAUGAUCUUAUGCAUGAUCUUUGUUGGUCAGUGGUUGGUUCAGGAAGUAAUUUAUCAUCUUCAAAUGUGAAAUAUGUCAGUAAAGGAACUCGACAUGUAUCGAUUGAUUAUUGUAAGGGAGCUAUGCUUCCCAGUUUGCUAGAUGUAAGAAAAAUGCGGACUUUUUUCUUGUCAAAUGAACCGGGGUAUAAUGGAAAUAAAAACCAAGGCCUUGAAAUCAUUUCCAAUUUAAGGAGAGUAAGGGCAUUAGAUGCACACAAUUCUGGAAUUGUGAUGGUUCCUCGUUCCCUUGAGAAGUUGAAGCAUAUAAGAUUUCUUGAUCUUUCAUACAAUACACGAAUUGAGACACUUCCUGAUUCCAUAACUAAACUGCAAAACCUGCAAGUGCUCAAACUAGCAGGAUUGAGAAGGCUGAAGCAACUGCCUAAGGACAUCAAGAAGUUGGUGGAUCUGAUGCAUCUUGACCUUUGGAAAUGUGAUGGUUUGACUCACAUGCCCCCUGGGCUUGGUCAAUUGACUUCCCUUAGCUACUUGUCGAGAUUCCUAGUGGCCAAAGAUGAUGGCGUCUCCAAGCAUGUUAGUGGACUUGGCGAGUUAUGCGAUUUGAAUAAUUUGAGAGGAUUGCUAGAAAUCAUGAAUCUGCAGAAUGUGAAAAAUCCAGCAUCAGAGUUUAGGACAGCUAAUCUGAAAGAGAAGCAGCACCUUCAAACAUUGAAACUGACAUGGAAAUCAGGUGAUGAGGAUGAUAAUACUGCAAGUGGUUCAAAUGAUGACGUGUCAUUGGAAGAGCUACAGCCACACGAGAAUCUCCAAUGGCUAGACGUGCGUGGGUGGGGAAGAUUGAGGUUUCCAAGCUGGGUUGCUUCACUCACUAGUUUGGUGGAACUUCGAAUUGAUAACUGCAUAAACUGCCAAAAUCUCCCACCUCUAGAUCAGUUCCCUUCUCUUAAACAUUUGACACUUGAUAAAUUAAAUGAUUUGAAGUACAUUGAGAGUGGGAUAACUUAUGAUCGUGCAGAGUCAGGACCGGCAUUAUUUUUCCCUUCCCUAGAGAAGCUAUGGCUCAGAAAUUGUCCUAAUCUGAAGGGAUGGUGUAGGACUGAUACAUCAGCGCCUGAGUUAUUCCAGUUUCAUUGUCUUGCUUAUUUUGAAAUCAAGUCUUGUCCUAAUUUGACUUCAAUGCCACUGAUUCCAACUGUGGAAAGGAUGGUAUUUCAAAAUACCAGCAUCAAGUCGAUGAAGGACAUGUUAAAGUUGAAACUUUUGCUGCCACAAUCUGCCUCUUCUUCUUGUUCUUCUUCUUCUCUGUCUCCUUCUCUCGUACAAUUGAAAGAAUUGAGUAUUCAGAAAAUAGAGGAUCUAGACUUUCUACCAGAUGAGUUGCUGCAAAAUCUCACUUCCCUGCAACAGCUGGAUAUCAUAGAUUGUCCAAGAAUAACCACUCUAUCUCAUGAUAUGCAACAUUUGACCUCUCUUGAGGUUCUUAUCAUCAGGGCUUGUAAGGAGCUAGAUUUAUCAUCAGAGCAGUGGCAGUGCCUCAGAAGCCUCAGGAAGCUUCGCAUUGUAAAUCUAGCGAAGUUGGUGUCACUGCAUCAAGGCCUUCAACAUGUUACCACUUUGCAACAACUCGAAAUCUGUAGUUGUCCCAUUUUGGGGACUUUACCCGAGUGGAUCAGUGGCCUCACGACAUUGCGACAUUUGGAGAUCAAUGAAUGUCCUCUUCUUUCACAGAAAUGCAGUAACAAUAAGGGAGAGGAUUGGUCCAAGAUUGCUCAUAUUCCAAAUAUCAAAAUUGAUGGGAGAUGGAUUCAAUUGAAGGGCUACUACGAACUGUGACUAGAAGAUUUAUUUGGACAUUUUUCAGUUUCUUUUUUUUAUAUCAGGUAUAAAUAUGUCUUGCGGUGGUCUUUCUUAAAUCCAAAAGAUGAUGAAGCUUCAAAACUUUAGGAUGGCUUUCAUUGCCUAGUUUUGUAGGAAAACAAUAUACAGAGGUUGCCCCAGUUUAUAGUUAUUUCAAAGCUUCUCACUACAAGAAGCAUGAUCUGUUUGGCAUGGAAUGUUCCUCUUUCUUGCUAGUUGCUGCUUGUCAACAGUGCAGGAUUGCAGGACACCUUUGGUGAUGACUAUGUUAGGAUUGCUUUCAGAAUUUAUUAAAGCUGCUAGUUGACAUCUCUUUCAGAAGGGAAGAUGGGAAGGAAGUUGGUAAUCGUUUAUCAUCAAGAGGAGUUAACACGAAUUCAUUCAUCAAUCUGUGUGGUGGAGGCCAUCGUUAUUGAUUACAUGAUCGUCGAGAUUUACUUACCUUCUUGAUCAUGAUUUGUCAGUUGAAUCAACAAGCUGUCUUAUGCAGUUCUUUUAGAGAAUAGCAACCUACUGGCAUCUUAGUAUUCAGAGAUUUAGAUGCUGAAACACCAUAUGCAUGGUACCCAAAGAUUGCUCAAAUUUCAAACGUUGAGAUUCACUGCACCAAUGAUUAAACUAGUUUGGUUCUAGGAAUGGAUUCUGAACUCAUCUGUGUAAUGUUCUACAAGUUCAAUUCAAGAACUAUUUCUAUUCCAUGUUUACUUUUGUUUAGAAUUUCAGUUAUUGGUUACCCAAAAUAAAUUUUGGAAUGUUUUGACAGAUAUCCAACCUGAUAUAAAAUCCAUUUUUAGAGUUUGUUUUGCUGAAA